rnacentral:rRNA from 1 species
AUACGGAGGGUGUAAGCGUUAAUCGGAAUUACUGGGCGUAAAGCGUGCGUAGGUGGUUUGUUAAGUUAGAUGUGAAAGCCCCGGGCUCAACCUGGGAACUGCAUUUGAAACUGGCAUACUAGAGUAUAGGAGAGGAAAGUGGAAUUUCAGGUGUAGCGGUGAAAUGCGUAGAUAUCUGAAGGAACAUCAAUGGCGAAGGCAGCUUUCUGGACUAAUACUGACACUGAGGUACGAAAGCGUGGGUAGCAAACAGGAUUAGAAACCCUAGUAGUCC